rnacentral:rRNA from 1 species
AGUGAACGCUGGCGGUAGGCCUAACACAUGCAAGUCGAGCGGCAGCACAGUAAGAGCUUGCUCUUACGGGUGGCGAGUGGCGGACGGGUGAGGAAUACAUCGGAAUCUACUUUUUCGUGGGGGAUAACGUAGGGAAACUUACUCUAAUACCGCAUACGACCUACGGGUGAAAGCAGGGGAUCUUCGGACCUUGCGCGAUUGAAUGAGCCGAUGUCGGAUUAGCUAGUUGGCGGGGUAAAGGCACACCAAGGCGACUAUCCGUAGCUGGUCUGAGGGGAUGAUUAGCUACAUUGGAACUGAGACACGGUCGAGACUCCUACGGGGGGCAGCGGUGGGGAAUAUUGGACGAUGGGCGAAAGCCGGAUACAGCCAUACCGCGUGGGUGAAGAAGGAGUUAGGGUUGGAGAGCCAUUUUGUUGGGAAAGAAAAGCAGCAGGUUAAUACCCCGCUGUUCUGACGGUACCCAAAGAAUAAGCACCGGCUAACUUCGUG